rnacentral:tRNA from 1 species
GCCGUGGUAGUUUAGCUAGGCAGAAUAAUGGGUUGUGGCCCCGUUGACCCGGGUUCAAAUCCCGGCUGCGGCC